rnacentral:rRNA from 1 species
AAACGUGAGAGUUUGAUCCUGGCUCAGAACGAACGCUGGCGGCAGGCUUAACACAUGCAAGUCGAAGGUGAAGCAGGGCUUCGGCCCUGUGGAAACUGGCGCACGGGUGAGUAACGCGUGGGAAUCUACCCAGUGGUUCGGAAUAACCGCGGGAAACUGCGGCUAAUACCGAAUACGCCCUGAGGGGGAAAGAUUUAUCGCCAUUGGAUGAGCCCGCGUCGGAUUAGCUUGUUGGUGAGGUAAAGGCUCACCAAGGCGACGAUCCGUAGCUGGUCUGAGAGGAUGAUCAGCCACACUGGGACUGAGACACGGCCCAGACUCCUACGGGAGGCAGCAGUGAGGAAUAUUGGACAAUGGGCGCAAGCCUGAUCCAGCCAUGCCGCGUGAGUGAUGAAGGCCUUAGGGUU